GGCCGGUUAGCUCAGUCAGUUGAGCAUAGCACUAGCAACACUAAGGUCGCGGGUUCAAUUCCUGUUUGGUCCC
rnacentral:tRNA from 1 species